AGGUGAACCACCCCUUAGGUUACUAAUCUAAUAUCUUGUUUGUAUUCGAUUAGAUUGAUUAUUUUUGCACUUGGAUUGUAAGCUCUACUGACCUCCUUCCUACUGUUUUUACGAAAACAUGUAUGAGUAUUUUUACUCCCAGUUCUUCCUGUGUGUACUGUAGUACGUUGUAAGAUUAAACAGUGCUUUGUAUUCUUGUAGCGCUUCAUUAAUAAAGUUAUAUAUACAUACAUAUUACAGCUGGCAGACAAAAGCCCCAAACCUCCCAGAGCCACUUCCAAUUGCUUUUAAUGGAAACUGCCUAAAACUGCUAGUACAGACUAGUACAGGUAUUUAUUGGCCUAAAAAAUUAAUUAAUGGCCUUUAUGUAUAUCUUAUGUAACAGAAAACAAAUAAGGGCAGAUUUAUCUAGAAAAACCAAUGUGUCUUAUUGGGAAAACAAGGAGAAAAUGUAACAUACGUAGAAGGCUGGGGUGGAUAAUAUACUCAAGGGCAUCAAACAGGUUUGUUAAGUUAAUCAUGUAUAUUAAUUGGAAGAGUCCCUAAUGUCUCACUUGUGAGCAGCACCAAGUGACAGAACUGGGAAGAACUAGAACCAGGAGGAUGCUGCUGGUUUAAUUGAUGAAGAUCUGAAAAACAAAAUCUCUGCUGUGGGAUAGAUGACAGCCCAGGUCAUAACUAAUAAAUGGGUGUAUAAUGGCUUCAUCAGCCAUGCUCCCAGGCUGCACAUGACGAGGAAGAAGAGGGUUGGAAAGAACCUGAAAUUCCAACUGGGUACUCCUGCUCUGCAAAAGUCAUAUGUACAUGGGACGGCGGGAUGCAACUGCAGGUCUCAAGGAGGAUGAGGCCCAGAAAUAGAUUUUUGCUACUGAGCCUGGCAAGGUCUUUGCACAGAGUCCUCGCCAUCAAAAUUGGAUGAUCCUUGGCCUGUUUGUAAGAUGCCUGAACAAGGGCCCUGAAAUACUGCAGAGGAUAAAUUGUUUAUGUCUAUCUGCAAACUAUGUGCAUGUUUCAAAACUCAAUAGUAAAUAAUAAGCAUAUGUGGGUAACUAUGUCUCCUAGGAAGAAAAAUGCUCUAGUUUUAUUGGCAUGUUUGACAUUGCUUAGAUUUCUGGAACUCCGAAGAAGAAGCCUGGGGGCAAAAUGAAAUAACAUAAAUAAAUAAAAAAAUGAAUAAAAAAUAAUUAACCAAAUAUAUAUUUCCCACUUAUACAAUGCCUGUUAAAAUAAACUUUUACUAAAGAA